rnacentral:rRNA from 1 species
UACGAAGGGGGCUAGCGUUGCUCAGAAUCACUGGGCGUAAAGCGCACGUAGGCGGAUUGUUAAGUCAGGGGUGAAAUCCUGGAGCUCAACUCCAGAACUGCCUUUGAUACUGGCGAUCUCGAGUCCGGGAGAGGUGAGUGGAACUGCGAGUGUAGAGGUGAAAUUCGUAGAUAUUCGCAAGAACACCAGUGGCGAAGGCGGCUCACUGGCCCGGUACUGACGCUGAGGUGCGAAAGCGUGGGGAGCAAACAGG